AGCCAGUGAUGACAUUCUUUUAAUUUUCUGACACCUCGUAUGAAAGCUGCUCACAGCUUUUGAUUCCACUGCUUUAGUUCUGAGGCUU